UACACAUGUGCUCUCCUCUCAGGACAUUACGUUUGCGAUGGCGUUCACCAGAUCAAAGAUACGGCGUAACAGACAGCUGGCUCAUGUACGAUGAUGAGUUCGUCUGCCAGACCACGUGUGAGUCUGUGUGUGAGCACCGGCAGAGAACAGCUUACCUGCUAUUCUAUGAGAAACAGAAAUCUGGCCUUCAACCCCUGUCUGCUCCAGCAAACCAACCACAUGGCAAUGGAUUGUAUCAUCCCCCCCAUUGUCACAUAACACUGAGUGAAAACCUCACAGAACAAAACUACAAAAACAGAAAUUCAGAUUGAAGGAAGAAAAAUGGAAGGAACAUUGCCAAAAAAAGAAGGCGAGAUAUGUAACGGCACUCCACAAGCCAUCCCCUUUCAGGAGAUUGUCCAAGAAGGUAUAAAAUGUAUUGCAAAUUGAUAGUUCAUGUUUAAAGACAUUUUACAAAACAUUUGUGCUUUGCUUGUACCCAGUAUUUUAACAGGUUGAUUCCUCAAUGGCUCAGAGUUCUCAUGAAGAAAAGAUCCUUUCCAU
ensembl:lncRNA